GACCACCAUUAUUUAACUUUUGAAUAACUUUGAAGCGAACAGCCCAGGAUCAUCUAUGAACUUAACAUCUUACGUAAAUAACUACUUUAAACAACAUGAGAAACUUUAUUUGCAUCUAUUUGGUACUUUGACCUCUGUCUGAGCAACCCGGCGACCUGUCUUCGCACAUAUAUGACGCUUGAUCCCGCAUUGAAUCCCAACCAAUGGCUGAUGAGGUGGUGCCUCUUUCUUCAGCCGUAUAAUCUGGAUGUUCGGCACAUUAAAGGCCCAGAGAACAUAGUGACAGAUGCUCUCUCGCGUGCCCCAGAGUGUGCAGAAUGAGUGUGCAUCUGGGUCAUGUUCUGCGCUGUUCCGCCUCUAGCAGGUGAGUUUUAAUUAUCUCAUAAUCAAUCGCUGGUGCCAGACGGUCACAGAAGGUAACACUGGAGGAAGGGCUCCAUGAUCUCGUCUCCUCGCUUCUCCUCUCGUCUCCAUGAUCUCGUAUCCUCGCUUCUCCUCUCGUCUCCAGGAUCUCGUCUCCUCGCUUCUCCUCAUCUCCAUGAUCUCAUCUCCUCACUUCUCCUCUCGUCUCCAUGAUCUCGUCUCCUCGCUGCUUCAUGUAGACCUUGGAGUGUUCACUUAUCUCAUGAGCUCUGGGACCUCAGUCCCACCCUCUGCUCUUACAACUUGACCUUCAUAUCCCAUCUAUGACAUGACCAAAAUAGCAACCAAUAAGUCUAUGCCCACUGAAUUAAAAUGCUUGCACUGUUUUACUAAA